rnacentral:rRNA from 1 species
UACGACUUAGCGGCGGACGGGUGAGUAACGCGUGGGUAACCUGCCUUACACUGGGGGAGUAACAGUUAGAAAUGACUGCUAAUACCGCAUAAGCGCACAGGGCCGCAUGGUCUGGUGUGAAAAACUCCGGUGGUGUAAGAUGGACCCGCGUCUGAUUAGGUAGUUGGUGGGUAACGGCCCACCAAGCCGACGAUCAGUAGCCGACCUGAGAGGGUGACCGGCCACAUUGGGACUGAGACACGGCCCAAACUCCUACGGGAGGCAGCAUG